AUUGAACGCUGGCGGCAUGCCUUACACAUGCAAGUCGAGCGGCAGCGCGGGGGCAACCCUGGCGGCGAGCGGCGAACGGGUGAGUAAUACAUCGGAACGUGUCCAGUAGCGGGGGAUAACCUGUCGAAAGAUAGGCUAAUACCGCAUACGACCUACGGGUGAAAGCGGGGGACCGCAAGGCCUCGCACUAUUGGAGCGGCCGAUGUCGGAUUAGCUAGUUGGCGGGGAACGGCCCACCAAGGCGACGAUCCGUAGCUGGUCUGAGAGGACGACCAGCCACACUGGAACUGAGACACGGUCCAGACUCCUACGGGAGGCAGCAGUGGGGAAUUUUGGACAAUGGGCGCAAGCCUGAUCCAGCCA
rnacentral:rRNA from 1 species